AUGGCUCCAAACAGGGCCCCCGGGCCUAAUAAUAUCCCUGUUGAACUUUGUCAGGUCUGUUGGGAUAUAGUUAAGGAAGAUAUUAUGGCCCUGUUUGACCAUUUUCAUCAAGGUAAGCUUGAUGUGAAACGUCUUAACUACAGGAUUAUUACCCUCCUGCCUAAAGUGUCCAGUGCUGAGAGAAUUCAACAAUUUAGGCCAAUUUGUUUGCUCCAUUGCCCAUAUAAGCUCAUAACUAAAGUGCUCGACCGUAGGGUUGCAGUUUACGCUGAUAAGCUAAUCAGCCUUACCCAAAAUGCUUUUGUGAAAGGGAGGAAUAUCAUGGAUGGAGUGCUUUCACUCCAUGAGAUCCUCAACUAUACACAUGUCAAGAAGAAAGUGGGGAUUGUCCUUAAGCUUGACUUUGAAAAAGCCUAUGAUAAAGUAAACUGGGAUUUCCUCCUUGAAUGCCAUAAAAUGCGUGGUUUCAAUGAAACCUGGUGUGGAUGGAUUAAACAAAUCCUUUACGAGGGGACAAUUAGCAUCAAGUUGAAUAACUGUACGGGCCCGUACUUUCAGAGCGCCAAAGGGGUUCGCCAAGGGGACCCCCACUCUCCUUUUUUGUUCAACUUAGCGGUGGAAUGCCUCACCAAGAUGAUCAAAAACGCCCAGAAAAAUAAGUUGAUUGUAGGUUUAGCUUCUGACCUCAUUCCUGAGGGGGUGGCUAUUCUGCAAUACGCAGAUGAUACCAUUAUUUGUUUGGAG
rnacentral:rRNA from 1 species